rnacentral:lncRNA from 1 species
GAAAUUAGAAUGCAGGGGAAAAACUGUUUAAAAUUAUUUUAAGCCUUUUCCGGACGCAAGCAGGCCUGCCUGUCAUAUCGAUAGCAUCUCUCCUAUCCGUGCACGGCAUUAGAAUACAAAACUAUCAUAAACAUACAACCCGUACAGUUCGAACAUUCAGACAGGCCAGAGUAACUACAAACAUAAUUAAUCAAUUACAGCUCUAAGAAAACAACUCCUAACAGAAAUUAA